rnacentral:lncRNA from 1 species
UUAAUCCUACAAGUAGGGAGAAUUUUGCAAUGUGGACUUUCCAGGCAGAAUCACAAACAAGAUCCCACUUGCUGACGACGUUCUGGACGAGGCCGGCCCGGAUGCGGUAGUGCCACUCGUGGCAAUCGCACUCGCUGGCGUUGCCAGCAACGGGGGUGGGCAGAGCGGCCGGGGGGAAGAUGCUGCUGUUGCCGCUGCGGUUG